GGAUCGCAACCCUGCAGUCCCCGCUCGCCUCCCCAAACCUAACCGCCUCCCUCGAAUUCUCUGGGUCUGGGAUACCUCACGACCUUCUACGAUGCUCCCUCGCCGGUGAUCCAUGGCAGCCGGAUUGCAAAAUGAAAAUCCCGGAAGCACCAAGGGGUCCUCGGCGGAGAACCUUUUCCGGUCGCAUAUUGCCACGGCCGCGGCAUGCAGGUUCUCCACGGAGUGGGGAUGCAAUCGCCUAGAUCUGCCUCUCGCGCAGAUUAAUCUCGAUAGGACAAUUUCGUGAUGGGGAUGAAUGCCAAUUUUGACAAUCCACGAUGGUGGCAGCAGGAUCUGGGGACGACGUACGUGGAGAUGAAGUGGUUCAGGGAUCAGGGAGUUCUAUUUCCGGUACUACAGGUGAGUUAUUAAUUCACGUGGAGCAGGCAAUGUCUAUAAUUUUUUUUGUCAAGAAUUUGUCUUGGUGAAAAGUUCAGGUUGUAAUCGUUAUUGUUGCCGCAGUAAUAUCCUUCAUGUUAUGUAUCGUGUAAGGGAGAACCAAACAAGUAGUGCAGGCCACUCGUUCUUGUCCCUUGAACGUGACAUCAUUCAUGAAGCAGUGCGUUUUGAUGGUUAAGGUAAUAUUAUCGUUCAAGGUGGCGAUGCAGGACAGCAGGAACUACAGCUGACAGUUUAAUGCACUGCAUGAUUCAGCUGAUAACCUGCCCGUCGUUGUUGUGCAAAGUCUCUGCAGGUAGCGGGCAAAGAUAUUAAGGUCAGCUGGGAGGGGCUUGUGGUCAUGAAAGAUGCCUGCAUGUUCACCCUAAAUACUACACAGAAAAAGGUAGGAUUUUCUGGUGAGACCCCAAAAUAUGUAAGAUCUGUCGUUCCAUGGAUCAUCAGUUAAACAAAACAUUUUAGUCUUCUGUUAGGUGGGUCCGUUUAGAUCUCAUCGAGUCUAUUUCUUAACCAGAUUUCAUCAUGUAUUUCCAUCUGUGGUAGCCAUUAUGACGUGUGUGUCUGAUGAGCUAUUUCAAUUGCAAAGGAUAGCAAAAAGAAUAUUGCAUGCUGACUUAGCUUUAUCAUCCAUCCAAGGUGAGCGUACCUAAUUUAUUUUAAAGGAAAUACUUAGUAUAGAAUUUACCACACGUAACACUGUUCUUUUUUGCUGUUUUUUAUACUGAAAACAAUACUUUGUAUUUGCAGGUGCCAUACAAGGUCCCAUAAAUAAGCAAGAUUUGGAAUAUUCGGAUAUCAGCUCUGAACAUUCUAGGCAAAAUAUUGGAAACAAUAUAUUCGACUUGGUAGAAUAUCAUAUUUAGAUGCAAGAUUGUAAAGUUUCUAGUUUUCAGAAGUAUUCCAUGUAUCAGAUCGUGUUGUCAAUAAUAAA